UGGGCCCUUGUAACAACAAAGCGCACAAGGCAAACAGAGGGGGCACAGCCCAGCAGGCUAAAAAUACAAGGCCUUUUUGGAGCGCGACAAGGACUGAAACUGGAAGUGAGGAUGCAGAGAUCCAGGUUUGGGCCUGGAUGGUGGGAAGUAAUGGGGCAGCAAAGAUGCUCCUCGAGGAAUGAUGUUGGACACCAUCUUCACCAUUUGGAAACUGAUUUCGGUCUGUAGCUACUCCGACUCUCAAGAUCGCCUUGCUCUGUUUCCAUCAUCAGAUAGAUGCAGGAUAAGUGCUUCUUCUGUCCUAAGAGAAAUAACCAUCGGCCCACUUGCGGAUAAGAUCAAGGGAUGACUCAGAGCCGUCCCCAGUCAUCUUCAUGGCUGUCAACCAUCAUCAUGGUAUCAUCCUCCUCUAAGAGCCACUCCGCCCGCAGGUCAACCUUCACCUCCUCCCCCAUGGAGUGCAUACCUACAGCCGGGUAAAGGCCCUCAGACGACACAGGAACCUCUAUUGAACCCACCUGGACAAGAUAUACAGGAAAUAAACUUACAAAAUGUCUGUUAAAUCAAUAAAAACAACAGAUGUAUAACAAACUUGUUUAUAUUACCGUUUUAUUUUUCAAAAUUAAGCAUUAAAUGUUGUCUUUGAAAUCAA